rnacentral:rRNA from 1 species
UACGUAGGUGGCAAGCGUUGUUCGGAUUUAUUGGGCGUAAAGGGCAUGUAGGUGGUUAAAUAAGUGUGAAUUGAAAGACUCAGGCUUAACCUGGUGUUUGGUUUGCAAACUGUUUAACUAGAGUGCAGGAUGGGAAACUGGAAUUCCGCGUGUAGGGGUGAAAUCUGUAGAUAUGCGGAAGAAUACUUGUGGCGAAGGCGAGUUUCUGGUCUGUAACUGACGCUGAAAUGCGAAAGUGUGGGGAG